AUUGAACGCUGGCGGAAUGCUUUACACAUGCAAGUCGAACGGCAGCACGGACUUCGGUCUGGUGGCGAGUGGCGAACGGGUGAGUAAUACAUCGGAACGUGCCCGGACGUGGGGGAUAACUACUCGAAAGAGUGGCUAAUACCGCAUACGAUCCAAGGAUGAAAGCGGGGGAUCGCAAGACCUCGCGCGUUUGGAGCGGCCGAUGGCAGAUUAGGUAGUUGGUGAGGUAAAGGCUUACCAAGCCUGCGAUCUGUAGCUGGUCUGAGAGGAUGAUCAGCCACACUGGGACUGAGACACGGCCCAGACUCCUACGGGGAGCGAGCAGGUAGGGGUAAGUUUUGGAACAAGUGGGACGAAACGCCGUGACUCCGACGCCUACGUUCCGCGUGC
rnacentral:rRNA from 1 species